UCCGGUUUGACACCGGCAGUCUCCUAUGAGUCCCCAGCCGAACUGCUGGCAACAUAGGAUAGGGGUUGCGCUCGUUGCGGGACUUAACCCAACAUCUCACGACACGAGCUGACGACAGCCACGCAGCACCUUCCGGGCCGCCCCGAAGGGAAGGCCGGUUUCCCGGCCGGUCACCGCAGAUUUAGCCCAGGUAAGGUUCUUCGCGUUGCAUCGAAUUAAGCCACAUGCUCCACCGCUUGUGCGGGCCCCCGUCAAUUCCUUUGAGUUUCAUUCUUGCGAACGUACUCCCCAGGUGGUAUGCUUACUGCGUUAACUGCGUCGCUGCCCCCGAAGGGACAACAACUAGCAUACAUCGUUUACGGCGUGGACUAC
rnacentral:misc_RNA from 1 species